AGGAGAGACAUGCGCGCAUAUCAAUAAGCGGAGGAAAAGAAACUAACAAGGAUUCCCUUAGUAACGGCGAGUGAAGCGGGAAGAGCUCAAAUUUGAAAUCUUCAAGGUUUUACCUUGACGAAUUGUAGUUUAAAGAAGUGUUUUCUGCUGAAGUUUUGGUAAAAGUUCUUUGGAAUAGGACAUCAUAGAGGGUGAGAAUCCCGUAUUUGACCAUUAUUUUCAGCUUUGUGAUACACUUUCAAAGAGUCGGAUUGUUUGGGAAUGCAGUCCAAAAUGGGUGGUAAAUUUCAUCUAAAGCUAAAUAUUGGCGAGAGACCGAUAGCGAACAAGUACCGUGAGGGAAAGAUGAAAAGAACUUUGAAAAGAGAGUUAAACAGUACGUGAAAUUGUCAAAAGGGAAGCGUUUGACACCAGUGUUGUUUUCUCGAAAAUCAAUUAAAAAUGGCUCGAUUUUGUAUUGUUGAGACCUUAAAAGCUCACUGUACAUUUUUCGUGUCUUUUUUAAUGCACUUUUCGUUUAACAAGUCAACAUCAGUUUCUUUUGUUGUAAAAGGGUCAUUGGAAGGUGGCUUUCUUUUCGGAGAAAGUGUUUAUAUGCCUUUGGCCUCUGCAAUCGGAGAGACUGAGGUCUGCAGCGUAGACUCUUCGGGGUUAGAUACAUUUGUGCUAAGUUAUAGCUUUUUAUAGACAACUUGUUGACUAUAAUUAGUCUUGUAGCUUACUCGCUUAUGCUAUUUUACCUACGCUUAGGAUGUUGAGUCGUAGAGCACGCAG
rnacentral:rRNA from 1 species